UACGGGGGGGGCAAGCGUUGUUCGGAAUUACUGGGCGUAAAGGGCUCGUAGGCGGCCAACCAAGUCAGACGUGAAAUCCCUCGGCUUAACCGGGGAACUGCGUCUGAUACUGGAUGGCUUGAGUUUGGGAGAGGGAUGCGGAAUUCCAGGUGUAGCGGUGAAAUGCGUAGAUACCUGGAGGAACACCGGUGGCGAAGGCGGCAUCCUGGACCAACACUGACGCUGAGUGAGCGAAAGCCAGGGGAGCAAACGGG
rnacentral:rRNA from 1 species